ACAGCCCUGUCUGUCCAGUGUCCUGGAUUCUGUUCAUGCAGGCGGUGGUGACAAGCAGGAUCAGAAGUCGCACUUACUUAACAGCUCUGAGCCUCAGAGACAUGCAGCAGAUGGCAGCCCUGUGAACCUGGCCUGGGAAAACACUGGAACUUGGGGCCUGCACCUUCAGAGUGGCGUUUCUGGCAUCUACCAGUUGUGCAGCCUCUACCACUUUAGACUGAAGAAUGACACAUGGUAGGGACAGAUCCAUCGCUGAUUCUGACCUGGGAGAGAAGGUCUCUUCUCCCUCUGGUGGGUCAGGAAACUAGUCUAGAACUUAGCUCAUGUGCAUGUGUCUAAAGAGGCAAGUGCAAUUAUUGGUCCUAAAGUCAGCCUCAAAUUUUGAGCAACAGUGGAAGUGGGUUUAGGGUGGAAGUAGUGUCUGGUUCAGAUUGAAGCCUUUCACUUGAAAAACUUCCUUUCUGAAUUGAUCUGUGUAGCAGCUCUUUGGUCUUCAGUUUCAAGGUCCACUCUUCCUGUUCUCUGCCUACCCCUCAAGCACCACCACUCUCAGGCCCUACCCACAAGGUCGACUCAGGAGCCCAACUCUACUCCUGUUCCCAGAAAGGAUUGAUAAAAAUCCUGGUUUGUCUCCCUGCAUUCAUGUUAAUGAAGUAAACACAUACAAAAGAGAACAAAGGAUAUUUAUGAGAGCAUUUUGGAUGGAAGAGCACUUAAAAAAAGGAAAACCCACAAACUUCCAAGGUGAAAUAUGAGAGGGAUUAUUAU
rnacentral:lncRNA from 1 species